UCAAUGCCAAACAGGGCUAUAAUGUUGACUUCAUAUUGUUUCGUUGCAAUAUUCAACCUAUGGUUCUCAUAGAUCCUAGCUUCCUGCAAUAUCAAUUUUUCUUCCGUCUGUUCUUUGUAAUUUUUCUAUGGCCAUCUCUUUGAAAUUUCAAUUUUGAGGUUUAUCCUAACUUGCCUUAGUAAUUACAAUGGCCUUUGGAAGUGAUUUUAGUCCUCCUCUCCUGCCUUUCCAAACUACUAGCCAAAGUGGUUUUUGGAAUUGAAUACGUGUGAUGUUGUUCAACGAUGGUGUAUUAGAAGAAAUUAUGGCAGUUGUUGGUGGUAGGUUAGGAAAAAUUACAACGUUUGGAGAGAGAGAGAGAGAGAG
rnacentral:misc_RNA from 1 species